rnacentral:rRNA from 1 species
UACGUAGGGAGCAAGCGUUGUUCGGAUUUACUGGGCGUAAAGGGCGCGUAGGCGGCGCGGUAAGUCACUUGUGAAAUCUCUGAGCUUAACUCAGAACGGCCAAGUGAUACUGCAGUGCUAGAGUGCAGAAAGGGCAAUCGGAAUUCUUGGUGUAGCGGUGAAAUGCGCAGAUAUCAGGAGGAACACCGGUGGCGAAGGCGGGUCUCUGGGCCGAUACUGACGCUGAGGAGCGAAAGCGUGGGGAGCGAACAGG